rnacentral:rRNA from 1 species
AUGCAAGUCGAACGGUAACAUUUCUAGCUUGCUAGAAGAUGACGAGUGGCGGACGGGUGAGUAAUGCUUGGGAACUUGCCUUUGCGAGGGGGAUAACAGUUGGAAACGACUGCUAAUACCGCAUAAUGUCUACGGACCAAACGGGGCUUAGGCUCCGGCGCAAAGAGAGGCCCAAGUGAGAUUAGCUAGUUGGUAAGGUAACGACUUACCAAGGCGACGAUCUCUAGCUGUUCUGAGAGGAAGAUCAGCCACACUGGGACUGGGACACGGCCCAGACUCCUACGGGAGGCAGCAGUGGGGAAUAUUGCACAAUGGGGGAAACCCUGAUGCAGCCAUGCCGCGUGUGUGAAGAAGGCCUUCGGGUUGUAAAGCACUUUCAGUUGUGAGGAAAAGUUAGUAGUUAAUACCUGCUAGCCGUGACGUUAACAACAGAGGAAGCACCGGCUAACUCCGUGCCAGCAGCCGCGGUAAUACGGAGGGUGCGAGCGUUAAUCGGAAUUACUGGGCGUAAAGCGCACGCAGGCGGUUUGUUAAGCUAGAUGUGAAAGCCCCGGGCUCAACCUGGGAUGGUCAUUUAGAACUGGCAGACUAGAGUCUUGGAGAGGGGAGUGGAAUUCCAGGUGUAGCGGUGAAAUGCGUAGAUAUCUGGAGGAACAUCAGUGGCGAAGGCGACUCCCUGGCCAAAGACUGACGCUCAUGUGCGAAAGUGUGGGUAGCGAACAGGAUUAGAUACCCUGGUAGUCCACACCGUAAACGCUGUCUACUAGCUGUGUGUGUCUUUAAGACGUGCGUAGCGAAGCUAACGCGCUAAGUAGACCGCCUGGGGAGUACGGCCGCAAGGUUAAAACUCAAAUGAAUUGACGGGGGCCCGCACAAGCGGUGAGCAUGUGUUUAAUUCGAUGCAACGCGAAAACCUUACCUACACUUGACAUGCUGAGAAGUUACUAGAGAUAGUUUCGGUGCCUUCGGGAACUCAGACAAAGGUGCUGCAUGACUGUCGUCAGCUCGGUGUCGUGAGAUGUUGGGUAAGUCCCGCAACGGACGCCAACCUUGUCUUAGUGCCAGCAAUAGGUUGGCACUUCUAAGAGACUGCGUGACAAACGGAAGAAGGUGGGGCACGACGUCAAGUCAUCA